rnacentral:lncRNA from 1 species
GAGAUGAAGACAGCCGGAAAGCAGUUCCCGAAUACAUCAAAUCUUAAAAGAGUCAUAUAAUCACUUCCCUGUCCAAAUUUGGACAUUAGUUACUGUCCCCAAUGGAAUCCUACAUUGGACAUUUGGGCUGAACAUAUGUAUAUUAAGGUAACCUUUCUUUCUAACUAUAUAUACAUUUUUAUGUACUUGUCUCCCAGUUAUUGCAUUUUCUCUAUCUAUCAAUCACGACCUUUUGGACUUCUAUUGCCACUUAAGGAUUCCAGCUUUUCUAGAUUAGGAGACUUUUUCUGAGUAGAACUAACCGGUGGCUUGGCCAGUUUUUUGUCAUUGUCACCCUUAAAGUAGAUUUCUAGAUCAGUUGAGCUUCUUCUCCUUGAAGCAAUACCCCAACCCAUAAAAUCUGAUAGUGUUGGUGUGUCUGAACUGCUCACCCUCAAUGCAUCUUCAUCAGAUGAGCUAGGGUAUGUCUCGGAUUUUUGUGGUGAUGAUGUUUGAGCAAGGGAAUCAGCAUGAAGGACGUCCUCGAUUCUUGACAUGACAUUGAAGGCCAAGCUCUCUAGAAUCCUUGAAUAGCUCUCUAGAAUAGCGUGUCCUACAUCCUGGUGAAAAAUCGAAGAUCAAGUAAGUUUUUUAUCAUCAACCUUUGAAUAACAUUUAAUGCUUUGCUUGUUGUGUAUGUACCCUAUUAUCUUGUAACUUAGAUAUAUCGAGUGAAGAUUGUGGAAGUCCGGGAUAACGUUGCUUUAACAAGAUUAAAAUAGUUUCCGCCCUUUCUUCGAAGAGUUCCCUUUUUUCCAAGCUAACACCUGAACCCCAAGAAGACCUACCGUCUUUUUGGUGCAUCUUCCUCUUCCAAAUGACAAUGGAAGCCUCAAUCCUAUUCUUAAGGUCAAGAACUUUGUGUUCCGUCGACAAGUCCAUAGUCGAAAGGAAUUGUGAUGGAUCAAAGUGGUCCACCGUAAUGCCUUUAUAGAUCGAAUCACCGAGGCUCGCUCUUCCGUUCUGCAUGAUGGAGAAGAUCAAUAAAGAUAACUAAAAAAAUGAUUAAAAGAAGUUGGUAAAAGUAACAUGGAGGCUCCUAUACUAAGAGUCAAAUUGCAUUUUAGCCUUUCUAAAAAAAAGUUAAAUUAGUCCUUGUAUGUUAGUUCAAAGAGUAAAUUGGUCUUUUCUGUUAAAAAUGUCAUCCAUUUAUACUUUUAAAACUGACAUGGCUGACAGAAUAAUAAAAAAUAAAGGGAAUUUUUAAUAGAAUGACCAAGGACUAAUUUGCCCAUUUUUUCAGUAGAGGUGGUAAAAUGCAAUCUGACUCCUUUACAAGAGCCUUCAUGGUACUUUUACCAAAGAAGUCUUAUUUCUUUACCCUGGGGAGUGAAUCAAUGUAACUUUCAGGUAUCCCUAUUUCAGAUAGUACUUCAGCAUUGAUAGCCAUAGCUGCUUUUAGCACCUGGUUUACUGACUCCUUUUGACACUGCAGCCAUCUCCGUGACAUUUCCGAUAACCCGUUUACAGGUACUUUAACAGUUGGAUGCCACCAUUUAUCGUCCCUUUUACCGUUUUCAUUCUCUUGGUCAUCAUCUUUAGAGACAUACCAAAAUUCUUUUUCUUGUCCAAAGCCAUCAAGAGUCUCCUGUUUUUUUAUUAUAAAUUUUGAUCAAAUAUUUAUUUAUCAUAUGAUCUUUAUCAGUAAAAGUUUCAUGGAGGCUCUUUCAAAUUGCAUUUUACCCUCUCUAUUCAAAAAAUAAGCAAAUUAGUCUUUGUACAUUGGAGAAAAGAGCAAAUUGAUUCUUUCUGUUAGAAAUUUCAUCCAUUUGUCAUGUUAAAAAUUGGCGUGGCUAACAGAAUAACUAGACAGUAUCACUUGGCAUGCCAUGUGUACCUCAUGCUAAUGUAUAGGAAUUAGUUUUUAACAAUAGAAAUUGAAGAAAUUUUUAACAUAAAGAACCAGUUUGUUCUUUAAUCUAUCAUAUAGGGAUUGAUUGGCUCAUUUUUUUUCUGUAGAAAGGGUAAAAUACGAUCUGACUUAUUGUACAUGGGCCUCCAUGAUACUUUUAGCGAUCUUUAUCAAGUUAACUAGAAGGAUAAAGUUACUCACUAUAAGCAUCGUGUCGAGUUUUCUUAGACCAGGUAUGUUCACAAGCAGAUCACUCCUUUGUCUCGUGACCAUAAUCUAUCCAAAUUCGAAACAAGUUGCUGUGAGUUCAUAUAGUGAAAUGGUAGUACUAGUUCGAAGAUUUGUGAGUUAUAUGUUACCUCCAUGUUCGUUCCGUUUUUCGUUUUCUGUUGCGAAGGAACUAAUUCGACAAUGUGAUCAGUUACAGAUAGAAGCCAAUCCAUUUCUUUUCUCCACCUUGCUUUGGUUUCUGGUGCCAUAGGUCCUAAUUUCACUUGUUCCCCAAAAACAGAUGCUGCAAUUAUCAUUUACCAAUAUGUUCAAAUUAUCAACAUUUUUCAUCAUGGAAAUGAAAAACGAAAGCUAGAAGAUCGAUGGGAUUCGACCCUGAAAUUGCCGGAUUUCGUUUCCUAUGAGUGGUUACAUGAACUAACUGAGCUAACUUUGAGGUUUUUAUUAUGCAUUUGAUAAUUAGAUUUUAACAUAAUGUCAGAUCUGAUCCUUAUUCAUUUUUUAACUAAAUUUGGUUCUCAAUUUUUUAAAAAGAGUCAAUUUGAUCUUUAAUCUUUUAAAAAAGGAGUUUGAGUUGAUGUUUUUAAUGGAAACUCUGACUAAUAUGGCAUCCCAUAUCACAACUUACGUGUACUUCAUGCUUUUUUUUUUUUAAUAUUGAAUUUUUUUCAUUUUUGAAUAUUUUUAUAAUUUUAAAAUUAUUUGUUGACGUGGCAUAUAAGAUAAAUAAUGCCAUGUUAGCAUGAAAUACAUAUAAACUGACAUAUAAGGAAAGCAAUUUGACCCUUUUUGAAAGUUUUAGAGUCAAAUUUAGCUUUAAAAAAAUAAAGAAAUAAGUUUAUCAUUAUACCUUUAAUUUUAGACAAGAAAUGUUCUACCUGCUAGGUUUGUCACUGCAUUUGACAAAGCCAAAGCCGAAGGAACACCUUUGCCUCCUCCUGACAUAUCUUCUCCCAGAAGCAACUUAGAAAACCUUUCCUUCAUCUGCUCCAUAUCUGUCUCAAUAUAUACAUGCAUAUAUAUAUAUAUCUUAGAAGGAAAUAAUUAGCUUUCUUGUUCAUAGAUUGUAAAGCAAAAAUUUGGAAAAUGAGAUUAGUGGUUUGCUUGGCAGAGUAGAAAAAAGGGAAGAAAUGGAUAUAGGAUGGUGAAAAACCAAAAAAGAACAUAAAUGUUUGAGUGUGUUAGGUAGGGAAGAAAAUUCUCGCUCACUUAACUGCAUUACAAAGAUUAGCUUUGUCUUCAUUAGCUUUCUUGUUCAUAGAUAGUAAAGCAAAAAUACGAAAACGAGUUUAGUGGUUUGCUUGGCAGAGUGAGAAAAAAAAACAACAGAAGAAUGAACAAAAGAUGGUGAAAAACUGAAAAAGAAUAUGAAUGUUUGAGCGUGUUUGGUAGGAAAAAGAAUUCUUGUUCAUUUAGCUGCAUUACAAAAGAUUAGCAUCGUCUUCAUUAGCUUUCUUGUUCAUAGAUUGUAAAGCAAAAAUACGGAAACAAGAUUAGUGGUUUGCUUAGCAGAGUGAAAAAUCUAGAAGAAAUGGAAUUAGGGUGGUGAAAAACUGAAAAAGAAGAUGGAUGUUUGAGCGUGUUUGGUAGGAAAGAAAAUUCUCGCACCUGUUUGUGGCCACUCCUGGGGAGUUUCUACCACAGACUCUCCUAUAUUUUGUUGCCCCAUUGAUUUAUCUUCACUUGGUUGCAGAUUAUCAUCGACAUCAUCCACGUGCUCGUUAUUACCGCCUGCCGCGGUUGUGUUUUGUUGCUGGUGGUGGUGAUGUCUCAUUGGAUUAUCAAACAGGCGAAAAGAUCCUACAUUUUGAGUACUAUACAAGCGAGUCAAUGUUCGAACCAUCAUUCAAUUCCUGUGUUUCUUCUUCUCGUUUUUAAGCAGCAAAAAAAUUGAAGAAGAAACAAAGUCGAAAAACAAUUAUAAAAAACAAAAGAGUCUGUUUUUAAUGAGUGAAAAUGAGAGGCUAGCAAGGAUUUUUAUUUGAAUUUUUCAGUACUGAAAAGAGAUAAAGCUCUUUUGAGUGGUUAAUCUUGUUUGCAGUUUUUGCAGGCAAAGUAUCAACGGUGAAUGUUUUUGGAACACAAAUUUGAGGUUCAGCUGACAAAGAAACUAUAAACCACAAAGACUAAAAAUGGUUGUUUGUUUUAAGGUAGGAAAAUCAUUGCCAAAUUUUCCGGAAAAAUCAUUCAAUGUUUAACUAAUUUUAACUAAAUUCUCUGUGUUUUUUUUUUUUAGGUCUGCUGCUGCCCUUCCUGUUUUCUCUUUUACAGAACCUACCCAUUGUAGUUAAGUUUUGUUCAGUUUAACUGUUACAGUUCUUUAGUUGGAGUAGAGUUGAUAAUGGGAUGGGUUGAGGUCUGGUUUCAAAAAAGAAUUGAAGUUUAAGCCCGUUUCAAAAAAAGUUAAUAAAAUAAUGAUUUAUAUAUUUUUAUAAUUAAAAUAUUUUUUAUUGUUUAAAUUGAAUUCGGAUUAGGUCAAAAUGAGGUACAAAAAUCCUUAUCCAAUCCCGAAUCGAACUAAGCGGAUUAUCCGACCUUUGUGCAGGUUUAAGUUGGACAGAAUUAUUAUGGUAUGUUAUAGUGAUAAUUUAUGGUCCUCAAAUCUUUAUGGUUCAUGAUAUUUUGUGUUAAUUUGAGGUUUCCCUUUCCAUCCUAAGUAGAAUCAUUGGCUUAUGAGGUUAGGACUUGGGAGAAACACAAGGCCAUAGAGAUAAAAUUGUUUGAGGAGUUGGGUUAAUGGUAGUUUAGGUAUUGUACAAAAAAAUUAAGUUAAAUUAUUUGAAUUGGUCACUCAAUUUUUAGGGUGUUUUUAUUUUAGUCAUUAAAAAAAUAUUUUUUCAUUUUUGUCACCAAUUUUUAAAACGUUUUCAUUUUAGUCACUCAAGCAUUAAAUUAUUAAUAGCGUACGUCAAAUCAUAUUUACACUUUUAUUUUUUUUAACGAACUAGAUUGCUUCCAUUUUGGUUAACAAAAAAAAAAUUACUGUCUUGAUCAAGUAAAAAAAUAAGGAUUAAAGUGAAAAAAAUAAUAGAAAUUAAAAUAAUGUACUAAAAUAUUUUUAAUUUGUACUUUUUAUCCCAUUGCUGAAUAUUUUAAUAUUUUUUCAAUAUUGAAAUGUUAAAUUUCAAAACAUAAUAAUCAAUUAAAUAAAUUGUUGAAAUUUUUUUAUCCCUAGAUAGUAUUAAUGAUUUGUCACUAUAAUAUUAAAAUUAAUAAAAUUAUUCUUUUUGCUAUUAUAAUAAAAGUCGAUUUGUUAAUAUAAUAUCAAAAAUUUAUUUAAUUGAUUUUGAUGUUUUAAAGUUUAAAAUUUUAAUAUUGAAAAAAUUUAGAACUCUCAAAAGGAGUAAAUAAGUAUAAUUUGAUAAUCUUUUAAUGCAUUAUUUUAGUUUCUACCAAAUUUUCACUUUAAUCCUUAACUUUUUUUACCCCAAUCAAUGCUUAAAAAGUUAUAUUUUUUUAGUGACCAAAUAAAAGCGGCCUAGAAGUUUAGUGACUAAAAUAAAAGUGUAUAUAUGAUGUGACAUAUACAUUAAACCGUUGUUAGAGAUUUAACAACUAGUUAGCUAAAAUGAAAGCAUUCUAAAAAUUGAGUAAUGAAAUUAUAAUAAUUUCUUUUUGAAUGACCAAAAUGAAAACGUCCUGAAAUUUGGGUGACCAACAAUUUAGGUGACUAAGUGGAUAGUUUAGCCAAAAAAGCAACAUUUAACCUUGAUAACUUAUUUUAAUAGUAACAAUAAAUGUUGUUAUGAAUUUGAAUAGAAAUAUUUUAAUCUUUUUAGAAAAAAAUUUAAAUAAUUAUAAUUCAAAACAAUUUUUUUAAAAUUGCCGAACAUAAUUUAUGAAUUUUCAGAUUUUUAAUUUAUUUUUUAGAAUUAUUGUUAAAUAAAUACCUAAAAGUACAAAAUUAAUAUUUUAACUAUAAUUCAAUGACUAAAAUAGUAAUUAAUCCUUUGAGUUAACAUGUCACAUUAUGAUUUUAUUAAAAGGUAACAGAAGAAUGAUCAAAAUAUAACAAGUGACUUACAUAACUUUUUAAAAAUUGAGUGACUAAAGCAUAAUUUUAAAUAAAAUUUUGAAACUAUUGAUGUAAUUUACCCUUAUUUUAUGUGAACUUUAUUUUCUAAUAAUUAUUGUUCAAAGAAAAAGAGGAAUUGAAAAGGAUCUCGAUAUUAUAAUUACUACCCACAAUGAAUUUGAAGAAAAUGUUGAUAUUAACUUUUGCAUAUUUAUUAUCUAAAUUCGUUUUACUUUUACAGAUAAUGGAUUUAGCUUCGGACAAUAAAUAUAUGAAUUUACUUACUUUCAUGGAUAAUAAAUUCAGUUUAAAUAUUCAAAAUUAUUAUUUAUUUAAAUUUUUAAAAAUUUUAUUUAAAAAAUAUUUUUAUAUUUACUAAAUGUUGAUAUUAAAAGGAUUUAAAUAUUCGAAAAACUUUUAAUUAAUUUGACUUAUAUCUAAUGGGUACAAAUAAACAAAAAAUUUGAUGGUAGUCAUCGAUAUUCCUUCCGUCAAUCAUUUGAUGGGUACAAAAUAAACCAAAAUUUGACCAAAUCUGCUAAGAUUAAAUGUCCACCAAAUUUAAGGCAUAUUAGUAUGAGGAGGGCCAUAGUAACUUUUGUCUUCUCAUUUCACAUUGGUCUAAUUCUGAUUUUUAGUCCUUCUACUAUGUUAAAAGUUGGGAUCUAAUCCCUCUAUUUUAAUUUAACUUAAUUUGAUACCUUACUUUUAUAAUGUCAUUAAUAGAUUCAAAUAACUAUAGUUAAUUACUUUCAUUAAAGUCAGUCAAACAUUCGAAGUCAUGUGGAAAUUCAAUCAACCAUAUUCAACUAAUAAUACGUUUACAAAUAAAUCAAAUCUUCAAACAAGGUUUUUUUUUUUUAAAUUCAACCUCAUCACAAAAACAAAAGGUAUAAAAUUUGGACUUACUAAUAAUAUUAAAAAGGCACGAAGCUUAAAUUAUGCUAAAUUAAAAAUAGAGAAUUAAAUCUUAAAUUUCAGGCAUAGAAAAAGGAUUAAAACCAAAAUUAUACCUUUUGCAUUUCCCAAGAACAAAAGUUUAAACAAGGGAAUAUUGUAGUUGUGAGACAUUCCCCUUGUGUUUUCUUUUCUUUCCUUUAUUUUUUCUGAAAAUCAAAGAUCUUUUGGUCCCCUAUCACAAAUUUAUAAUGUAGGAAUGUUUUUUUUUUAUAUUUAAAUUACAUAAUUUUAAUAGAAUUAAUCAUUACAAGUAAUUAAUUAAAUAAUUAAUUUAACAAUCAUUACUAGAAUUGAAGUAAAACACGUUUGCGCAAUAUCGAACUUGAACCUAAUAAAAAAUUGAGUAAAUUAUAUUUAAUAUCAUUAAAUUAUUAGCAAGUUAAUGUUUUUAUCAUUUAAUUAUAAAAAUUAUAAAAUGAUUAUUGAACUAUUCGAAAGUUUUCAUUUAAGUUAUUGGGCUGUUAAGUUUUUUUUUUUUUAGGAAGCUCUAAUUGACGAUUUGAAAGUUGGUACGGUAGAUCAAUACCCAUUGAUGAAUAAAAGAACAUACCUUAGGUCUAAGUCAAUCUAAUAACCAGUGCCAAAGACUGGAAAAGAAAGUUGUUUGGAUUUUAGUUAGCAGAUUCAUGAUGUUUAAAGCAAUUUCAUGAAAAAAAACUAAACUGUAGAAGAGGAGGAAAGAAAAGUUUUCAAUUGGUGUAGGCGAUACAAACAGAGAAAGCCAUAUAACAACAAUUUUAACAAUUUAGUAACUUAAAUGAAAAUUUUUAAAUAAUUUAGUAAUCAUUUUAUAAUUUUUUAAAAUUAAGUGAGCAAAACAUAAAUUUACUAAUAAUUUAUAAUUUACCCUAAAAAGUUUUGAAACUUUUUGUGAAUGGCCCUUUGUUUGUAAUUAUUUGGUUAAGCACUUUUUGGCAUAAUAAUUAGAAGCUGUAUUAGACAAAAAGAAAAACAAAAAGCUACAAAUCUGUCAAAAUACAAAGGGAUGGCCAUGGGCAUGUGCUCAUUGCCCCUUUCAAUGGGAAAGUUGUGAGUGUGAUGUGACUGUGAUGACCAUUUUUGAGCCUUAAUUAAAGGGUAACUUUUGUUGUAUUUUCUACUUUCAAUUAUUGGCCAUAGGUGGGGGAAUCAGAAGCUGAAUCAAUUAAUGGAGUUAUGGUCCAAAAAGAUAAUAUGAUCUCAAUUUGUGAUUUUUUCUAAGUUUAGUCCUUUUACUUUUGAUCUUUUGAAUGUAGUUUUUCUACUAUUUUAAUUUAAUAAUUGAAAUUUAAUUGAUAAUAAUGUAGAAGGAAUUCUGUUAAAUUGUAUUAUGCAAGCAAUUCAAAGCCAGGUGAGAUCCAUGGAAGCAAAAAAUAUAUCAAAAUUCACUUUAGUUCUUUGAUGUGAAAGAAUAUUUUAAUCCCAAAUUCUGAAUUAAUAACUUUAUAAUCUCAUAUUCAACAUUUUUUAUUUGCAUAUUUGGUAUUUCAACUGUGUAAUAUUGAUUAUGUAAUUAUUUAUUUUAUUCUAAAAUGCCUAAACUAGGCAAUUAUACCUCAGUACUUAAAAGUGAAGGACAUUACACACUUAAGUGUGUUCGAACCUAUGUCUUUUAAUUUUUUGUAAUAACAAUGGUGCCAAUCGAGCUAAAAUUUAGUUAAUGGAUUGCAAUUAUUAAAUCAGAAGAGCAAAAUAAAUUCCAAAUGUGUGAAAAGUAUAGGGACUAUGAGCAAAAUUAGACCAUAAAAACAUAAAUAAAAUUUUAGGAUUAAUAUCUAGUUUACUCCUUGAAUUUGUCUAAAAUUACCUAGAUAGUACUUGAAUUUUUUUGUACCUAGUUGAUACCUAAAUUUGUAUAUUGCCCCAAUUUGUUAACAACAUUACUUUUUUAAAGGUUAACAUGUAGUUUGUCUCUUCUGAACUUGUCCAAAAGUAUCUAACAAGUACCUGGAUUUAUCUAAAAAGUACCCAGUUGGUAUUUAAACUUGUCCAAUUAUUUUUUAUUUUUUUAAUUUAUGUUUAUCAUGUAUCAUUAUAAGAUUGGUCUUUUAGCACAAACUAACUGUGUUGGUGAAGAGCUGCUAACCUCGAUGAUGGAAUAUUAGUUCAAGUAUCAACUAAGUAAAAAAAAAGAGAUACUAACUAGAUAUUUUAGACAAAUUUAAGGAUAAAUUACAUAUUAACUCAAAAUUAUUGCAGUGGAGUGGAGUUGAUGAUUUCAAACGAAAUAUUUACCUUUGCCUCUUGGCUUAGCAAUGAGGUAUUGGAAAAAGGGUUCUUUCAAUCUCAUUUCAAAUAAAAAAUUAACAUUUUAGGCAGUAAAAACAUAUUUUUGUUUCUUUUCUAUUUUGAUUUCGUGUGAACUGGUCUCUCUUAAAAAAAUCAAAAUAAUAUAAUUUUUUAUCAAUUUUGAUAAUGAGCAAUUAAAGAAAAUUAAUCAUAACAUUUAUAUUUUUCGUCAAUUGUAUAUAAUUUUUGUUAAUAUAAUAACAAAUGUAACUCUUAAUAUUUAUAUAUUCUAUGUAAAUGUUAACGGAAUGUAUAAAUAUUACUUGUUAAUUAAUAGGAUUUAUUAUUAUACUAAUAAAAAAUAUUUACAAUUAAUGAAAAAAUUAACUAUUAAAUUAUGCUAAUUUUUUAAAGUGACAAAAUGUCAAAAUUGAAAAAGGCUACAGAAGUGGUUUUACCUUUCUAGCUUGAGUAAAAAGGUUUUCAAAUUCAAAGCAUUAAUUAAACCUUUACAUGUGCAAGCAGCGGUAAAAGUAUUAGCUUUGUAUAUCAGAUAAAAGAAUAAAUUGAUAUUUUCUGUUAAAAAUGAAUAUAUUUUUUAACAGAAAAGUCAAUUUACUCUUUAAUUUAAUAUAUAUUAUUUCAUCUAUUUUUUAAGUAAAAGGAGUAAAAAGCAAUUGAACUCUUAAUUUAGUGGCCUCUAUCGUAAUAUUUCCCAGCAACCGGCCGAAAGAAGAGCUGGGAAAAUGAAGAUUCAAUUACAUUUAUGAUAGGCACCAAAAGCAGUAUCAGUCUACAAAAACUAAAUAUACACAUACAUACAUACAUUGCAGGAAUCUUGUGAAUGCACUUAAACUGUUCAAAUUUUCAGCUUUUGAUCAUUUUUACCUACUUUACUGCAAAAACCCAGACAGGAAAUUUUUUUUAAACUCUUUAUCAAUUAAAAAGUUCAUUUAAUUCAUAAUUUGAUAGUGAAAGGUGAUUUAGACAUGGAUCUGCAAGUGGUUGUUCAUAAUGCCUUUUUUUUUUUUUUUCCCUUUGUUCUUCCUUUUUUUCCCUUUACCAUCAACACCAUACUCAUGAUUUCCACUAAAAGCUUAAACCUUAAUGCAUAAAUGUACUAAUAGUGUAAAAAAAUUAAACAAAUUUGGUAAAUGAUGUAAAUUAAAAAAUUUCAAAGCUUUAAUUCCUUCAUUUGGUAACUGUUUUAAAUAAAGUAUAAAGCUUUUGCAUGCUCUAAAUUUGCUCACUUUUUUCAAAAGGUCCAAAAUUUUCAUUAUCCCCAAUAAGUAAACCAAUCAAAUAAACAUUUUUUUUUUUUUUGGCUUUGGAUCUGAAGCUCUGCUAGUUCAUUUGCAACAGGUAAGCACCAUAAAUUCUUGGGUUUUUUAUGCUUUUCAUUUUUACAUCCAUUUUCUCAUCAUGAUCUUCUUCUUUUUGCUUUUUUUGGGUAAUUUUGUGGCCAUUUUUGGUUCUUGUUCAAUUAAGUACUGAAAAUACUUUUUUUUCUCCAUUUUUUUGUAAAUGGCAAUGCUUUUUGUUUAUUAGCGCAGCAGACAAGAACUGAUUAAUGUUUUUUUUUUUUUGCGUUUAUGUUGUUUUUUUUCACUGAAACAGAGUUUGGUUUUGUCGGUUUUUAGAUGAUCAUGUCUUUGAUUAGAACAUUGAAGAGCAUGUAAGCAAGUGGAUUUGGCGUUUUAUUUUUGUGUAUAUUUGUAAGUAUCUGAGUUAAUGAAUAUAUUUGUUUUUUGGGUUUACAGAAUAUGCCUCAAGAGAGUUUAAGAUCAAUUGUUUAUAGAUCAUUUGUUACAUGUGAUGAUCCAAAAGGAGUUGUAGAGAGUAGAACAAUUAGAAGGUCGAAAACCGGUUCAACCGACACGAUGGUGCGUAAUAAAACUGACGAAUGCCGGCAAAAAAUGAAGAACCGAUCGACAAAGGGGACUUCUUGUCAACUCUUGGAGGUUUCAAGGAGAGCUCACAAGCUAAAUAAUGUGAUUGAUUCAUGUUCGAAACGGCUUUGGUAUGAUACGAAUUCGAGAGAUGUAGCUAAAGAUUUGUUGAAAGGAGCACUUGAUUUGCAAGAUUCAUUGCAUGUGCUUGGGAAAUUGCAAGAAGCUUCUCAUUAUAUGGCAAAAUGGGAUAGGGUGAGAAACGAGCCGAAUUUGAGUCUGGUUAGAGAAUGGGAUUAUCGAACUGAAAACCAAAAUCCGAGGCUUUCCGUUGAUGGUUCUUCGAGAGAUUGUGUUGAGGAGCAUAGGAAAGUGAUUACGUAUAGUCUAGCUAAGCAAAAUCUAUUGCCAAAUGUUGAAGAAAUGAGAUGCUUAAGUGGAAGAUAUCCGGGUAUCCCGUCUACAAGCUCGAGUCAAUCUUCAACCAUCCGUACUGAAAAAGGCCCAAGUUUGAUUGCGAAGCUUAUGGGACUAGAACAAAUGCCUUCGAGACCACUGCAGACAAAUUCGUGCAAGGAAGUGGAGUGUAACAAGAUUUUGGAUAGACAAAAGCAUAUGUUUGAAAUCAAUAGGCCAAAAGUGAGGAAGUCUCGAUUUGUUUUCCGGAAGGAAGAUCUAGAUAGGCGAACAAUGGACAUUCACGAGGCCAUGCAUUUUAAAGGACUAUUGAAAAGCAACUUCAUCAAAGAGAUCAAGUAUGAUUCCCAUCAAUGGAGUGAUUUCUUUCCAGAACAGAAGUUGAUCAAUGAUAGUCCUCCAAUCGUACUUAUAAAACCUCGAUACAGUCCACACUUGCAAACAGAAGAAAAGUUCGUGCCAUGGUUUCACGAGGGUCGUAGCUUAAACACUGAUACUAUGCUCAGAAAAGUGCAGCCUCCUUCCAUUAGCUCGAGGGAAGGUGCUAAAGAAAGCAAAGAGAAAGAGGCCAAACCAGUGAAAAGCGACGUAAAAGCUAAAGAGAAGCUAUCUAUGAAGACAAAAACUUCAGGGCCCAUAACCGUGCCAUUGCUCAAAAAAGAGGCUACUCACAAGAAAACCAAAAAGAUACCGAAACCAGUUAACAAGGAGGUUGCAAAGGCAAAGAAUUUAUUGAGGUCUAAAGAUGAAGCUAAGGUUACCCCUCCAAAGUCUGGUAAGCUUGAAAAUGGAUCAAAUGUUACAAAUAAUAAAAUGUCUCAUCAACGCAGAUCACAAACUGUAGUCCGUGCUCCAAAUGAUCGGAAAAAGGGAGUGAACAAGAUGAAAACGGCUAAAAUAACUGUGAGUUCUUUAUAAGUUUACUUUCUGUAUUUAUAAUUCUUUUGUUAAACGGCAUAUCAGCAUACUGGACUUGAAAUGCCUAUGCUACAUUCAUUAAGCUAUGAAAACCCGAAAUGAAGAUUGAAAACUAAAUGCAGUUUAUCUUUUAUGCAGAACGAGAUAUUAGAACACAAUGGAGAUGGUAUUGUUUCGGAAGGAAAGAAGAUUGAUCUUAUAUCAGAAAGCGAUACAGUUUUCGAACAAUAUAGCAUUGAAACUGAUAUUAUGAUUGGAGGUAACAAUGGAGGAUAGAAAUUUUAGUAUAGUAAAUUGAUGUAUGCGACAUUAGUCAGCUGCUGUGUGGCUGUAUUAGAUUCGUAAAUGUAUACAAAAUGCAUUUUCCGAUUUAGAUGCAUGUAAUAUGCUGAGAGUUCCUAAUUUUUAUUCGAUACUUGGGACAAACUCGAGAACAUGACGUACAUUUAGAUGAUAUAUGUUUAGAUACUGAACUGGGUACUUUAUAUUAGGAGUCAAAUUACAUUUUGUCUCUUUUACUAAAAAAAUGAACAAAUUAGUUCAUGUAUGUUAGAUCAAAGAGUAAACUAGUCAUUUUAUUAAAAAUUUCAUCUAUUUGUCUUGCUAAAAAUUGGUUUGUGCAUGUCAACAUGAUGUUAGCCAUACCCGUUUUUAAGAAUAGAAUAGAUAAAAUUUUAAACAGAAAUGAUCAGUAAUGUAUAGAGAUUAAUUUGCCCAUUUUUUGAGUAAGGGGUGGUAAAAUGUAAUCUGACUCCUAGUAUAGGGACCUCCAUUAUAUUUUUACCGAUUGAACUGUGCGUAGAAUGUUGAUACUCACCUAACAAAUUCUUUGUUUCCUUUUCUCAGAAUGUCGUGAUAACAGCGAGGAUUCCGUUUGUGACAUUACCCUGGUGACUACUGAUUAUCAAAACAACCGAAAAUGUAUCGGUCCAAAUGAAACUGACAACGAAAGCUUCACUAGAGGGGCCAAACUAAAAGCACUUCUAUUGAGCAGUCCGGCUUUCCUCAAUCACGCCGACUAUCUUUUUUAUCUUCAUGUGAAUCUUCCUACAACUUCACCAAAAUUCGACAUCAACGAAUUCACAGAUGCCAACAGAAGACUUUUCUUAGACUGCGCAAAUGAAAUUGUUCGAAGAAUAAGCUUUCCCGAUUCUCAACUGGUUCACCCUCCGUUAUCAUCCGUGGUCGGAAAUGCCAAAACUCAUAUCUCUCUAGACCAUUUGUUAAGGGAAACUUGUGAUCAGGUUGAGGCAUUGAGAAACUAUAGUGAAGUAGCUGGUGAAGACUACCCUGCUGGUAGUCUUUAUUCAAUGCUUGAAAGAGACUUAAAGCACAAGGAAGCUUUAAGUGGAAUAUGGGACUUGGGUUGGAAGAAAGGGUUUACUGUGAAUGACACGAUACAAGUAGUGGAUGAAAUAGAGAAGCAAUUAUUGAAUGGGUUAAUCGAGGAGAUUUAUGCCUAAGUUUCAGCAGAAACCGAGUUCGGUUACACUCUUAACAAGAGAAUAUGAGUUCAAACUUUAAAAAUAAUAAUAUUGUUCGGAAAGUCUGUUACAACAUGGACGUGAGCGAUACAACAAUUGUAAAUAAAGUUGCUUUAGUUGAUAAUUGUAAAUUCGUUUAGGGUAAAUUAUAUUUAUAGUCACUCACCUAUUAUUAAAUUAUUUUUCUAGUAAUUUAAUUAUAAAAAGUUAUAAAAUAGUUAUCUAAUUAUUCGGAUUUUUCUUUUUUGAUCAUCAAUUGCUAAAUGACUUACGGAAAAAUGACAUGGUUGUUUUUGAAAUUAGCAUAAUAACAACUUUAAUACUCAACAUUUAUACAUUGUGUUAAUAUAGUAUUGAUUCUAAAAAUUUAGCUCUUGAACAUAUACACAAUGUGAAAUUUUUUUUAUUUGCUUUUUAUAACUUUUUCACAUAAAAAGCUAAAAAAAAUCAUCAACUAAAUUUGAUUUAGCGACAAUAAUAUACCAAAAAUGAAAGAUUUAGCGACAAUAAUAUAAAAAGCUAAUUUUUAUCUUUUCUCAUGCUUUUAAAACUAGCUUUCAAUGUCGCAAAUAAAAGUAAAAGUGCAAAAACAAAAUGUCAAAUUACACAAAGUAUAAAUGUUAAGGGUUAAAGUUACUAUUAUGCUAAUUUUAAAAAUUAUCUAAUUAUCUUGCCAUUAGUAAUAUAAUAGCUAUGCAUGAUAAGAUUAGAUAUUACAUACGAUAAUCAUGCAUAAUAAAACUCGAGCUUUUCAAAUGUGAGGCAUUUAGAUUAUGAUUUCAAUUUUAUGUUUUGAUGGUACCAAAUUUUUCUUUUUUGAAAAUUUGUGAGUAUCAAACUUGAAUUUCAUGCAAUUCUAAAUUUUAUGUGUUGUUAAUUUAUUUAUACUAUAUAUUAAGCAUUUGAUUAAGCUUAUAUCACGAGUUAAUUGAGUAAUUUAAUUAAAUGGUAAUGAAAUUAAACAUUAGAUUAUAACAUAUUUACUAUGUAAAUAUUUUUAACUACAUCGUAAGUAUGUCUUAAUCUAAUAUUAACAAAAAAUUUUGUAGAUAAAUUUACUCAUGAUUUAAUCAAAGCUACUGAAAAAAAAAAUCAAACCCAUUAGGAAAAAAAAAGUAUUAUUUUUCAUUUUCUAUUGGGUAAAUAAUGUAAUUACAAUUUAUUUUAUUUUAUUUUUCUAGAAUAUAAAGAUCACACGCUAUUGAAAAAAUAAAAAUCAAACCCAUUAGGAAAAAAACAAAAACAAAAAGUAUUUCCAUUUUCAUUUUAUGUGGGUAAAUAAUAUAAUAUCAAUUAAUUAUAUUAUAUUUUUCUGGAAUAUAAAGAUCACGCGCUAUUGAAAAACAUAGGGUAAAUUCCACUAAAAAUCAUUAAACGAUUUGCAGGUUUACAUUUUGGUCACUUAAUUUUAAAAAGUUAUAAAAUGGAUCAUUGAAUUAUUCAAAAGUUUUUAUUUAAGUUACCAAGCUUUAAGUUUUUUUUUUUCUAAAGUCUUGCUAUCAAGCUCCAAGGGAUAAUUCGGCGAUUGUUAUAGUGGAUCAGUACUCAUCAACAAAUAGAAAAACAUACAUUAGAUCUAAGUUGAUUUAACGAACAGUGUCAAAGAUCGAAUAAGAAAACUAUUUAGAUUUUAGUUCGCAUAUUCUUGACGAAGUUCAAAGUUGUUUCAUGAAAUAAAACUGAACUGUAAAAGAAUAAGAGAAAAAAAGCUUCCGAUUAGUGUAAGCGAUGCAAAUGGAGAAUGUUGUAGAGUAAAAAUUUUAACAACCUAGUGACGUAAAUGAAAACUUUCGAAUAAUUUAGUAAUCAUUUUGUAACUUUUGAAGUUGAGUGAUCAAAACAUAAAUUUAGUAAUAUUUUAAUGACUUUAAGUGAAAUUUACCCAAAAAUACAAAAUGAUGAGCUUUGAAUAAUCAGAGCCACAAGUCCGACCCCAUCCCUUAAUAUUUUAUAUAAUUAAAUUUAAAAAUUAAAUGAUAGAAAAGGUUAUUUUUACCAAAUAACUUUAAACUAUUAUUCAAAUUUUAAAUGGAUCCUAAAUUUUAAAAAUUCUAAUUCAACCAUCAAAAAUCAAUAUUAUAAUAAUUUGAUUCUUUUAUUAGCUUAACUAUUAGUUUGAGCGUAAAAUGUGAGCUCAUAUACAUUAUGGGUAUAUAAAAUAUAGAUUAAAUUAUAAAUGUAUAAUGAUAAGUUUAUCUCUUAAUAUUUAAUUUAUUUUGAUCUUAUUUUUUAAAUAAUUUUGGCUCUUAACCUUCAAUUUUAUUCGAAUUGCUUUGUUUUGGGUAGAAAAUUUGAUUGAAUUAUUAAAAUUUUAACGGCACUAAUGUAAUAACCGGCAUAAUAAUUCAAUACAUAUAAACUCUUGUUUUUUUAUUAUGAAAUCUUAUGUUUUUUUUUAUGAAAUACAUGUUUACAAGCUACAACCAUGCAAGUUGUCACCUUAAUUCGUUAAAAUUUUAACAUUAAUUUUUCUCUAAAAAAAAUAAAUUGACUUCAUUUUAAAGAUUAACGAAUAAAAUUAUCUAAAAAAACUUAAUAUACAAAAAUGAUAAAUAUUAGAGAUUAAAUUUAUUAUAUGUCAAUUAUAAACCCGUAUUUAUAUUGUAUAGAUAAUCUUGAUUUGAUGUAAUAAAAUUUAUAAUAUCUUUCUAAAUUUUAUUAAAUUUUUAAAGUGACGUGUCUUAUUGAUGUAACUUUGAGAUCUAAUUGGAAACUGAUGAAGUUUAGAGACUAAUUUAAAAUAUUUGAAAUAAAUUAAGGACUUUUGGUGAAAUUAACGCAGAAACAAAUUUACAAAAGUCAGCCUAACUGUCAAAUUGACGAAGCAGCAGAUUCAAAAGAGUCGUCUCUAAUCUCAAAAGCUAAUAUUUGAAAAUUUUUGGUUAUUUUUUAGAAAAUUCCUUUCUUGUUUCUUCUUCCUUUGCCCGGUAAACGGUGAGUUGAGAGACACGGCCGAAGCGAGUGUUUUGGGAUCCUUUAAUAAGGAUAUUGCUAGCCGCGUUUUUUCUGGUGAUGGGAGAUGAUAAAUCGGCGGCGAUGACGGCGAGUAGAGAUCGUGAGCUUCUAAUUCCGGUGGCUGAAUCCGUAGACGAUGAUUCCUCCAAAGCUUCUUCUUCUUCGUCUUCCUCUUCUUCGCAUCAUGCCGGGCGUGAGGUAUUUUUCUUUCAUUUCCUUUUUUCUCGAUUUUUUGUUGCUAAUUGGAGUCACCGUUGUGAUUCAAUUCGAUUUGACUUGGUUUGCAGCUUUUUUUGGUUAGUGGUUGUAAGAUUUGAUUUGAAUUUUAUAAAUUAAUAAUACUCGUGCAAUAGAGCUUAAUGCGAUUCAAUAGUGGAAAAAUUAGAUGUUUCAAAUUCAUAUUCGAGCUGGAAACUAUUGAUAUUAGAAGAGGUAUGGAAAUUUGAACUGUUUUACUUGUGUUUUGACUUGGUUUUUUGAUGUAGGAAGUUGCAUAAUAUACUGGAGCUAUUAAAAUAUGAGGAAAUGGUUUUUCCUUUGUUUUGUUGUUAAUUGGAGUUACCUUUGUGAUUUAAUUCAAUUUGACUUGGUUUGCAGCUGUUUUUGGUUAGUAGUUGUAAGAUUUGAUUUGAAUUUUAUAAAUUAAUACUCAUGGAAUAGAGCUUAAUGCGAUUUAAUAUAGAGAAAUUAGAUGGUUCAAAUUCCUAUUUAAGCUGGAAAUUAUUGAUAUUAGAAGAGGUAUGGAAAUUGGAACUGUUUUAAUUGUGUUUGACUUGGUAUUUUUGAUGUAGGAAGUUGCAUAAAUAUACUGGAGCUAUUAAAAAUUAAGGAAAUAGUUUUCCCUUUUGUUUUCUUGUAAAAUUGUUAUCAGAAGAUAAGACCAUUUAGGAUAUGUAUAACUGAGCUGAUGGUUGAUAGAAUUUCAUACAAAAUUUGUAACAAAUGAUUGCUUUAUCCGUUUUAGAGGCUUUCAAUGUAUCUGUGAUUUAUUUUUGAUAGCUUAAAGUGCUGUGUAAAGAAUGUUAAGGCCCACAACAGAAGGUAUAUGAUUCCUUUUCGUAAAUUCCCUUGAACAAAUUUAGGGUAUAGAACUAUAGGCUUGAAUUUGAUGUCUCCCCUCCGCUUAUGAGACACAAUGACAUUAUUUCUUUCUGGUUUGUGGAGUGGGAUAUUGAUGAUCUUUCAAAAGAAAUGGUUUUAUUAUGUUGCCUGUACGGGAAUUCUAUGCUUAUGUUUGUCUGUGUUUUCUUGUAACGAGCACACUUUUGUUUUUUACUCUGAAAAUUUGCCUUACAAGCUUUGUUUUAUGCAGACCUUUUACAAAAUUGUCCAGAGCUGGGCUUCAAAGAAGUUCAUGACAGGAUGGUAACUGGCAUUCUUUCAUCUCCUUUCUUUAGCUUUAUGGACUCAUAUGAUGGAUGUUUCUACAAUGGUCAUAUGUAUGAAAAUGAUUUGGAUGGUGCUAUUACCAUCUUCUUACAAAGGAAAAAAGGGAUCAACACAAGCCUCCAAUUCAACUUCUUUGUUUCAUAUCCUUGAUAAUUAGUGAAAAUACUUUCACUAAUGUAUCAUAUGUAAAUAUCUUUGUAGAUUUUACCUCUAAUUUUGAGUACUGUAAAUUUUAGAACUUUGGAGCUAUUAAUUCUUGAAUGAGAGAUAAUUCUAAAUACCUUGAAAUUUUUCACAAUUAUUCAGCUAUUUUCUAGGCAAAGUGCUUGGUGGAAAAUAAGUAUUUCACUAGAAUGGUUGGGAUGCAUUCAGUCACCAUAUAAUUAUAAUAAAUAUCCUCAUUUACAAUGAAUUCUUUGGGAGAGUAACGGUGGAAGCUUGAUAUGAAAUUUGAAAUAGAGAUAACAUGUUUGAUCAUUGACCAGCCUGACAUGUUCUUUUAAUUUUUUUUUCUUGUUUCCACUUUUCUCUUGUCGCAAUCUUCUCAUGAAAUGGAUGCUUGUCUUGAGAUUCCCUGCUUCUCUAUCAUCUUACAAAAUGUUUGUUCUUUCCGCUAUGAAUUUGUGCUAACUUUUAUUUGAUGAACUCCAAAACUUAGUAGCAUUGGUUUCUGAUUCCAAGAAAAUGUGUAUGGAGUUUCUAUUGUCAUUCAUGAAACUGUUAUAGCAGCUACUGAACCAUUUUUUAUUUUGCAGCGUCAUUUUGUUUCCUAUAGCAAUCACUUUCUACAUAACAUGGUGGUUUAUUCACUUUGUGGAUGGCUUUUUCUCUCCAAUUUAUGCUCAACUCGGAAUUGAUAUAUUUGGUGAGCAUCUCAGGCAGUUAGCACCUAAAAAGCUUUUUCUUUUUAACUUCCAGCAAGUGCGUUGAACUUAUUUCAUAAUUGUCGAGGGUAAAAGUACCAUGGAGGCCCCUGUACUAGGAGUUAGAUUGCAUUUUGCCCCCUUUACUCAAAAAAUAGGCAAAUUAGUCCCUAUAUGUUAGAUCAAAGAGCAAACUGGUCCUUUUUGUUAAAAAUUUCAUCCAUUUAUACUGUUAAAAACUUGUGUGGCUGAUGGAAUAACCAAACAGUUACACUUGGCAUGCUAUGUGUAGCUCAUGCUGACAUAAAAGGACCAGUUUUUAACAGUAAAAGUUGCUGGAAUUUUUAACAGAAGAAUUGGUUUGCUCUUUAACAUAACGUAUAGAGACUAAUUUGCCCAUCUUUAGUUGAGGGGGCAAAAUGCAGUUUGAAUCUUAGUACAAGGGCCUCCAUGGUACUUUUACCAAUUGUUGAGUCUUUUAUUCUUCCCCCCCCCCCAAUUGGAUCAUGGAGUUCGUAAACAUGUUUUCUUUUUCUAAGGCUAUGUCCUCCUUUUAUUUCCUGGAUAGGUCUCGGCUUUGUAACUUCUAUUACAUUCAUCUUCUUGGUUGGCGUAUUCAUGUCAUCUUGGUUGGGCGCAUCUGUCCUGGGCCUUGGUGAGUGGUUUAUCAAGCGGAUGCCAUUUGUUCGUCACAUCUACAAUGCAUCCAAGCAGAUCAGUUCUGCUAUAUCACCAGGUAUGCACUAUGCUGGUUUUCUUCCACAUGAAGUAAAUUAGUUUAGCUGGUCAUAUUAUUCAAAUUGAUCCAUGUAGUGACAAUCCAUAUGCUACAUCAGUCUUUUCAUUCACUUCUUUUACUAUUUCAGAUCAGAACACACAAGCCUUCAAGGAAGUAGCCAUUAUAAGGCACCCACGAUUCGGUGAAUAUGCAUUUGCCUUCAUCACUUCAUCUGUUACUCUGCAGGUAAGCAAAUAAAGUUUUCUUCCUAAAUUAUCAUUUUGGCUUGCCCUGUUUUUUUCUUCUUUUUCUCAUGAGAUCGUAACAGGGUGGAGCGGAUUUUUGCCCACCCUGGCCCUGACCCUGACCUGACCUUGACCCGAAGCUUAAUCAAUUCAGCUUGAAUCCUACCGGAUCCUGAUUCUUAAGAAAAAAAAAAUCUGCCUUGAAUUUGAAAUUUAAUAGGAGACCCGACUCCCGAGUCCAACUGACUUGAAUUUUAUUUUAUAGUUUUAUUUUUAUUUUGAAGAAAAUAAAAAUAUUACAUUUUAAUUGUUUUAUUUUUUAAUUUUGAAGCAAAUAAGAUUUAUUUAUUUGUAGUUUAAACUUAAUAUUUAUUUAUUUAUUGAAAGCAAAAACUUAAUAAAUAUUAGGAGAAUUUUUGUAAAUAUCUCAGGACAGGAUGGAGCGGGUUUACCUAAAACCAAACCUGACUAAUUUUCUAUUUUCACCCAACCUGACCCACUCAAACCUGAUUUUCCAAAAAAACUCUAAUCCUAACUGGUUGGUUCAAGUUGGAACCCGUCAGAUUCGGGUUUUUUUGCCAUCCCAUAUUUUUCUGGCAUGCAUGUUUGCAUGUUCAUUGAGACUGCUUGUUGCCCAGCUCGCUUCUACAGGAUUGUUGUUCCAAAAGACUGCUUGUUGCUUGGUGUCUGAACUUCUAAAUUUGGUUGCUAGCGUUUUAAAUAUUGAUUAUUCCAGUAGGGUUUAAGACAAACCAGGUAACGUGAAAUCAAGGAUGCCGUUUUAUUCUUUUUUUUUUUAAAUGCAGAGUGACGCUGGUGAAGAAGAGCUAUGCUGUGUGUUUGUUCCCACGAAUCAUCUUUACCUUGGUGAUAUAUUCCUCAUCAACACCAAGGAUGUUAUCAGACUGAAUCUGUCAGUCCGUGAAGGAAUUGGUGAGGCAUUCAACUUCUUUUGUUGUCAUUAUUACAAAUGCAAGGAAAAAAAGGAAGGGGCUGGGUGGGGUAGGAAUGAGAGGAGUUACUGCAUAGACCUCCUAACUCGGGGUUUAAAUGAGACACCGUGCUCGUAAGCUAUUCAAGUUCGACUUGAAAAAAACUCUAAUUUGAUUUGAUCAUUCUUGAGCCAAGUUCUAAUAUUAUGAUAUUAAAUUACUACUAUACCCAAAAAUUUUGUAUCGAGUUUGAACAUAUAAAUCAUGUACACGAGCUUGUUAUAUCUCGAGUUUGUUUCGAGUUUAAACUUAUAUCUCGCUCUUUCUCCCAUUGCAGAAAUUGUUAUAUCUGGGGGAAUGUCAAUGCCUCAGAUCCUAUCAACACUAGAUACUCAAUUGGAAAGAAGCAGACCUGAGAGAAGCUGAGAUAUAAGGUAACAGUUGUAGAGUUGUCGUUGUUUAUUUAUUUCACUUUUUUAGUUUUGGACUUCAGUCAUCGGACCGACCAUGCAAUCAAUAUGUCUCAAUAAUGCAGGAUUCGGAAUUAGAUUAUAAAAAUUUGUAAUGGUAGUGUCUGGUUCUGGUGGCAUCUGUAAUUUAGCUUGCUUGCAUAGAAAUGUAAAAACCGUUUGCUUUCAAAGUGUUAAGUUUGUUGAUAAUUGCGGGGUUCAUCUUUCCCCCCAAAUGUUGUUACUUGAGCAUAGAAUGUAAAAACUGUUUGUUUUUUCAAGUGUAGAUGUGGAGGCCUGGUUUACGUAGGGUUGACUUUGGUUCGGUCUAUAGGGUUUUGGAUUUUUCAAAUUGUCCGUGAUAAUUUGAUUCAUUUUUAUUAAUUUAAUUUUGAGUUUGGGAUUUUUGGAUUUUAUUUUGAUAAAAUGGAUUUGUUUUAUGAUUUUCGGAUUGUAUUUGAUAAUUUUUCAAUAUUUUUUCAUAAAUAAUUAUUUUAUAAGUAGAUAAAAAAAUUGAAGACUUUUAUUUAACGUCAUAAAAAAUUAAAAUUAAUAUACAUUAAAUAAAUGAUAAUUUUGUUCGGUUUAGGUAACUGCAAUUUUUCAACUUAUGAAUCAAAAUCACCCAAAUGCCUGUUCAAAUGGGUUCUUUUGUCAGCCCUAAGUCCAAGUUUGGAUAAAAUGAUUCUAACCUUUUGUUGAUCAGAUUAAAUCUAAAUUUAAAUUUAAGUUCAAACCUUAAAAUUAUACAUAAAUUUUGGUGAUAAAUCCUAAAAAUUAUAUAUGAACUAUGGUUAUGAACUUUGAUUUUGUGUAAUUUUAUACAUGAAAUUUUGGUUUGAUCAAAUUCUUGUAAAUUAUUAAAAAAAAUAUUGAUAUAACAUCAUUUUAUGUUUAUAUAUUGCAUAAUUAAACAAUUAUAUUUAUCUAAUAUAAAAAUAAAUUAAUAUAUUUAUUUAUUUAAAUAUGUAUAAUUAAGUCAAAUUUCAAAUAUAUAUCUGAACCACAAUUAUAGCUUCACGUAUAUAAUUGCACCAAAUUAAAGUUCAUACAUAUAAUUGCACGUUAAAUCAAAAUUCAUUUAUAAUUUUGAGAUUUAUCCUUAAAUUUUAAUUUGAUACGGUUAUACAUGAGAAACUUUUAUUGAUUUAAAUGUUUAGAUGAAAUUUUAAUUUUGAUUCAUUUAUACACAUUUAAAGAAAUAAAUAAACUAAUUUACUUGUAUUUUGUAUGCAAUAUGUAAGCAUAAAAUGGUAUAUUGAUAAUUGUGUUAAACUAUAUAAUUGUGUUAAUAGUUUAUGAGAAUUGAAUCAAAUCAAAGUUUUAUGUAAUAUAACACAAAAUCAAAGUUUAUAUAUAAAAAUUACACAUUAAGUCAGAGUUCAUGUGUAAUUUUGAUAUUUAUCUAUAAAUUAAAUGAUAAAAAUAUAAUAUUUAAAUUUAAUUAUAUAAAUAUUAGUAUAAAAUUUUAAAAUAUUUUAUAAUACAAUAAUAAAAAUAAAACCAGGACAAAUUCGAUCUUAAAUAUGGAUUUUUUUAAAAAACACAAUCAUAAUAUGACUCUAUCCAUAAAUAACCUUUUCUUUCGCGUAGCCCAUUUGCCUAGUGUUUUCUUUCUUGGGUUAAGGCCCAUUGCAAAGAAUGUCGAAAGUGGGCGCAUUAAGUGAAAAUCCCAGUAAACCCUAAUACCUUUUCUCAUGGUCAUGGAUCCCAAUAUCCCCGCAAAACCCCUAGUAGUUUACAUUCAAGUAUGUCCCCUAUAUAAACCAUUGACAUAAAGUGAGUUCAUCGACCGUGAUUCUGAGCUCCUCUCUUCUUUUAGGGUUUAUGUUCUAAUCGUAUAUCCUACAUCUGUUUCUCCGAUCUUCAUACCUCUGCUUUGUAAUUCGUUUAAUUUUGUCCCUUUUCUUUUGUAAAUCUGUAAUUUGAUCUGCGCUCUUCUUUUGUAGUUUAUGUUCUCAUCAUAUAAUCUAGAUCCGUUUCCUCUACUUUGAAAUUUGUUUAAUUUUGCCUUUUUUCCCUGUGAAACUGUCAUUUUAAUUGAGUGCUUCUUCUAUGGAUUAUGUUCUCUCAUAUAUCCUAUAUCGGCUUCCUCCGCUUUGAAAUUUAUUUAAUUUUACCUCUUUUUUUGAAAAUCAAAUAUUUAUGCUGCGAAAAAGGGACGGUGACGAUUUCAACAGUGAAAGGUCUCGUUCGUCGUAAUCGGCUGUUCUUCAACAGCCGUUGCCGACCAUCCUGUUAUAUAACCACCCAUAUUCCGAGUCCCCUUUUCUUUCCUUCAUUAUUUUCUUUUUCAAAUUAUAUUAAUUUUUCAUACUAAUAAUUUUCUAAGAAAAUCGGCCGCGAAUUAUUUCAUGUUGAAAUGCCGAAUCUUCUCUAUGAGGCCGAUUAUCUCACUUUUUAAAAAAUAUUUACCUAUAAAUUCUCAUCGAUAAUUUUUUUUAAAAAAAAAAGGUUUUUCUAGAUGAUUAUAUAAUUUCCUUUUCAGCUGAUGAUCUACGUGAUUAUUUUCUGAUCUUUUUGCUUCUCAAUCUCAUUGCUCAAUAUUAGUUUCAUGCAUAAUAAUAUUUACGGCCAUAAAUGUUUAAAUUAAUUAACAAACAUUAAGAUCGAAAUUAUGGAAUCAUCUUUGAGAUGAUUUUAUUUGAAUACUAUGUCGAUUAGAACCUUUUCUAGGAUUUCAUAUUAAAUAAAAAUAACUAUUAUAUAAAAAAUAAGAAUUUAAUAAAAAUAACUAUAUUGGUAGUUAAUUAAAUUUUCCUUGAUCAUUUUGCCAACAAGAAAAAUAAAAUAUAAUAUUUUUAAGUUAUUUUGUUUUUUUUAUUGACUUUUCGGUUAAAAAAGUAAAAUAAAAUUGUAAAAAGAUUAAAUUAUAUGAUGUGUAUUCUUUUUAGAUUAAGCACACGUCAUUUCAUUGAAAAAUCAGAGAGUCAAAUAUUUUAUUUCUUGGAUUUUGAGUAGAUUAAGAUAUACAAUUCAGUUUAAAAUGUCAAAUGUACUCAUUUGAGCAUGAUGAUCCAUCUUUAAUCUAAUUCUAACAAGGAGCCUAAAAUAUCAUUCAUAAUAAAUAAAAUCUGUCUUAAUCACUGAUAUCUCAUUACACAAUUUUAUUAUUUAAAUAAUUUUGUUGACAGGAAAUUUUUUAAAAUUAGGUAAAUAUAAAUUCUAAUUAUUUCAAGUUUGGGAUUAAGAUCUUUAUAAAAUUGAAUUAGUUUGGGUUUAAAUAUUUGAAUUGAUAAUUUGGGUUUAAGUUAUGCUAAAAUAAAUUUGAAUUUGAAUUAAUAUAGAUAUGAGUUUUAGAUUGAAGUUUUAUGUUGAUGUCAUAAUUCAGAAAUUAAUCAUUAUCCAUCAAAGUUGGAUAUCUAGUUUUGAAAAUCGGUUCGGUGGCUGAACUGACCAAACUAUUAUCAAUUAGGUGGUUUAUGAACAUUGGUUGCCUUCCACAGCGCUUGGUUCUCAAUUUGACUAGACCAGUCAAAUUGUUCAAUUUAAUUAAACAAAUUUAUUAAAGAAUAAUCAUUGUUCGAACUAGACUAAUCAAUUGGAUUAAAAAUCAGUUGAUGUGCGAAUCAGUACAGGCCGAUUAAAUUGGCUAAAAAUACAUAUUGAAUUGAUUUUUUAUUUUUUAAUAUAUCUUUUACAAAACUUUUAAUAAUUUAUUUAAUCAAACUGUAAAAUUAAAAAAAUAGAAAAGACUAACUCAAUCAAUUUUUCAAUCCAAUCCUCUCUUCAAACCAAUAGCAAUAGCUUGACCGAUUCUCAAUCUGGAUAAUAUAAAUGAAAACAACAACUUCACAAUUUUAAUAAAAUAGAAAUCCAAUUGAUAUUUUUAACAUUUAAGCAACAAGUAAAAGAAUCAAGCAAAAGUGACUGUUAUCCAUUAUUUACUUUCAUGUAAAUGACUAGCAGUAUAAUACUUACAAAUCAAUGGUAAAAGCCGUGAUUUCAAAGGUAAAAAAUUUUGGUGAUAUCUCAUGAAAAAAACAUAUCAUUCAUUUGCAAACAAUUCGCCAAUAAAAUCUGUAUGAAAAAAAAAAUAAACUGUUGAUAGCAAUGGAAUCUUUACAGAGAUAGUAUUACCAUUUUCAAGAAGUGGAGUUCCCGCUAUGAUUUUGGCUAUUUUUCUUUGUACUUCCCGUCUCAAUUUCCCGAGUAGUUUGGCCUUCAGUCGAGCCAGAAGGGUAUAAACCGUACUCGCUGGUCGGUUCACUGUACUCACUACUAGCACCGUAUUCUAGCGAGCCUAAUGCAGCCCUUCGGAGCCUUUUCAUGUCUUCGUUGUAGUGGCUUGCAUCGUAGUCUGAGCUUCCUCCAUAUGAACUGUACACAUUGCUUUGUCCCGGUCGCAUUCCUUCGUUGAGAUCUGAUAACGACGAUUCUCCUUCUAAAGCUCGUACGAUCUGUGCUCAGUUGCAAGUUACGGGUUAGAAGCAAAUAAUGAGUGGAAUGUAAAGAGUGGUGGCUCUAGACCCAUUUACCUGGCUCAUUCGUGGUCGACGUCGUGCUGAAUGUCGAACGCAAGCAGCAGCACAAGCAACCAUACGAGCCAUCUCGUUGUGGUUAUAUUCCUUUUGUAACCUCGGAUCGACGAGAUUGUUGAAAUUUCCAUCAUCUAAUGCUCUUGAGAGCAAUGGCCUAGCCUGCAAUCGGCAAAAUAAGGUUUACUCGAUAAAAAAGGAUCCUAAAAAGCUUAAACCAGUCCAGAGCAAUAAUAACUAACCCAUUCGACCAAACUAUCCUCGGCAUAAGACGAGCCAACCGGUCUGUGUCCGCUAAUCAACUCCAACAGCAUGACCCCGAAAGAAAAAACAUCCGAUUUUUCCGUCAAUUUUCCGCUUGAAGCAUACUCGGGAGCCAAAUACCUGGAACAAUGAGAAUACUAACAUAAAAUCACUUUUCUUGUGAACCAAGCAACAACAAUGGAUGAAGUCUUCUUACCCAAAAGUACCCAUCACUCUUGUGGAUACAUGAGUGUUGACAUCAGAAAAGAACUUUGCAAGUCCGAAAUCAGCAACCUGAAAACCAAAGUUUAUCGUUAUCUCGAUGAAGAAGUAGCAAGAAAAAAAAGCAUAUUCGCUUGAGUGAAGUAGGACGGUCGACACAUAAUCUAAUUCAUGUUUGAAUCUUUAGCAAUGUCAAGAAAUCAAAACGAAUGAAACCGAUACCUUAGCCUCGAACUUGAAAUCUAAAAGAAUAUUAGCCGCCUUAAUAUCGCGAUGAAUGAUCUUAGGAUUACCUGAAAAACCAUGAAAUCUGUUACUGAAAAAGAUCGAGAUCUUACUUCUAGAGCAAGUAAACAAGGGAGAGAGGCAAUUAGCAUACAAUCCUCAUGAAGAUAUGCAAGUCCUUUUGCAGAUCCUAAAGCAAUUAUCAUCCUUGUUGGCCAAUCCAUUGUAGGUCUCCCUUUUCCUACAAUUAGUACUCGAUAAUCAGUAUUAGAUGUAUUUACCGGAAAGGUUCAAACAUCAAGUAGCAUACAGUCAAAAGGCAGUCUUACCGUGCAAGUGAAACUCCAAUGUGUUGUUCGGAACAAACUCAUAAACAAGCAUUCUUGUUGUCCCGGAGAUACAGUAUCCGACCAAUGAAACAAGAUGUUUGUGAUGAACGCGGCUGAUAAUCUCGACUUCUGCUUGGAAUUCUCUUUCCCCUUGUCCGCUUCCGGCCUUAAGUUGCUUGACUGCAACUUCCGUUCCGUUUGGAAGAACUCCUCUGUGCACGUACCCGAAACCGCCUUGCCCAAGAAGGUUUGCAUCGGAGAAGCCAUCUGUUGCUCUUGCUAGUUCCUCAUAAGUAAACUUGCUCUUGGUGAAACCAAGUGCAAUGCCAGGGGAGGGUGGUGGAAGUGGAUUUUCGGAACCUGAAUUAUUAGAACCGGAACCUCCACUACUGCUCAUGAAAGGCGGUGGUGGUGGAGGUGGUGGCAUUGAUGGCAUAGGAGAAUCUUCUGAAGAUGGUGGUCUCCAUGCCGUAACUGGCGGAGUUGGGUUAGGCAAAAUUGCACCGUAUUGAUCGACACGCGGUGGAGGAUUUUGUGGCCACCGGUAUUGUUGGCCACCGUGUGGAUGAUCUGAAAGAACAAAAAUAUUUCAACAAUCCGAUUUGACCCGAAUCUAAAACUAACGAUUUGACCCGAAUCUAAAACUAACUUGGAACUUAAUCAACUAAACACAAAAUGAUUCAAAUUGUAGAUAAUCCAAAACCAAGUAACUCGGAAUCACCUGCAAAAUCAUAAUUCAAAAUAAUCCCUGCAUGCAAUGGUCGGACACAAAAAACUACCAGAAAUAUCAAAGUGAUCUUAACUCGAAAUGAUCAAAACUGACCCGAACUGGAACGGAUUGAAUUAGAGAUAAUCCGAAAUUGACUAGAAUCAAAAUUACUAUAAUUCCACGGAAAAAGUCUGACCUUUAGGAGGCCCAGGAGGUGGAGGCGGCGGCGCGUAGUAAAUUUCGCCGUCGUCUCUUCUUCUUCUCCUUUUCAUUUGACAACAUAUAAACAGCAAGCUCAAAACCAACAAUAUUGCCACUCCCCCUAUUGCUAUACCAAUAACCAGUCCGGUCGAUACACCACUGCUUGAUGACGGUGGCGACGGAGGAGAUGGAGUUCCUGAAUUCCUCGAAGGAGGUGGUGGUGGAGAUGAAGUACCUGGACUUCUCGGGGCAGGUGGCGAUGGAGUUGACGUAGAAGGAGGUGUAAGAGAAGGGGUAGAGGAUGGUGGUGGAGAUGCUGCUUCUGAAGGUGGAGGGGAUACGGAUGAUAUUGGAGGAGGCGAUGAAGCGGAGGGGGAAGGAGUGGUGCUUGAAGGAGGAGGAGCUGAUGGGGUGGCUGGAGGUGGAGAUGGGGUACCAGAUGGCGGGGAGGGAGGACUAGUUGGCGGCGGAGCUGCUGCGGUUGGUGGUGGUGUAGGAGUGUUAGUUGGCGGCGGAGUUGCUGCGGUUGGUGGUGGUGUGGAAGGAGUGGUAGUUGGCGGCGGAUUUGCGGUGGAUGGCGGCGAUUGGGAAGGAGGACUACUCGGCGGCGGAGCUCCGGCUGAAGAUGGCGGCGGAGACGUAGUGUUUGUUGAUGGUGGUGGUGAUGACGGCGCCGGAGUCCCCCCUGGUGGUGGUGAUGACAUUAUUGUAUUCUAUAUAACAAAAUGAAAAGACAAAACAAAAUACAUAAACAAAAAACAAAAAACUUUUUCAGUGUUUGUUUAAAAGAAGGAAUGUGUUUUUAAGAGCGAAAGAACAAAAAUAAAAUAUUUUUUUCCGGGAAAAUUGGUUUACUUCGACAGAAAUGGCAGGAAAAUAAUAUUUAUAAUAAUUAAACUAAUAAAAGUAUUUUCAGUAAUUCAGUAUUUUUAAAAAAAUAGAUUUAUGACGUAGAAGUUUUAUACAAAUCAGUGAUGCCUAAUACGCGUUUUAAAUUAAAUAACAUAUUAUCUUACACUAUCUAUGUUUACGCUAAUUUCUAAAUUAUGAUUUUUGUCUCCGUGAUUUAUGCAUCCCAAACUUCUUUAAUAUUUGCAUUUUGCCCCCUUUUUUCAUUUCUCAAUUUUUUUUUAUUUUUUUAUAUACAAUUUAAAAUAAGAUUUGAACUUAAAAUAUUAUCAACUGUAUUCCCUCAAUUUUAUUAUCUCAAGUAAAGACAUAUUUAGUAUUUAAAUUAUUUUUUUAUAAAUUUAUUAGAUAAUUAAUUUUAUCAUUGAAUGUGCCAUAAAUCUAGUAUUGAUAAUGAUUGAUACUUUUUGGCCGACACUUCAAAAUAAUUUGUAGUUAAAAGUUUUAUGCUGGCAUCUCAAAAUUUAAAUUCCGAUAUUAAUAUCUCCUUCCUUUUAGAUUGUAAUGUUUAAAAAAAAAAUGUAUAUAAAUUUUAUAGAAAACCCAAACAUAAUAAAAUUCACAAAAUUUCAACCUUUAAAUUAAAUCAAUUCAAUUCAAUCCAAUUCUAAGUUCAAAGAAAAUUCAAAAUAAUGAAAAGGAAUUCAAUUGAUCUAAUUUAGUAUAUAAAUUAUUAAAUUAUUGAUUUUGUAUUAACAAUUUAAUGAUAAUCUUUAAUAAUGAUUUUCAAAAAGUAUGAGAAUCAAAUCCUCAAUUCUAUAAAUUUGGAUAUGAAGAAGCAUCAUCAAUAUAUAUAAAAAAAAUCUUUAAAAAAAUAAAUAUUAAAUAUUUUGACCCUUUAACUAAAUUUUAAAUAUUUAAUCCAAUCAAAAUUCAAAUUCAAAGAACCAAUCAAAAACAGCUAAAUUGGUCUAAUUUGGAUGGAGUCAAAUAGGUUAUUGAAAUUCUAUUUGACAUUUUUAUUUUAUUUGUACCCAGUCUAAAGCAACUUGUAUUGGAAACAUUUUAUGAUACUAAAAUAUAUUUUUUUAUUUUUUAAUAUUGAUUUUAUUAUAAAUUUUUAUAAUAUCUAUUUUUUUAUAUCUAAAAUUUAGAAAUUACAUAUAGUCCCACCUUCACUCUUAAAUAAGAAGAUGAUAUAUUUUAACUACUCAGAUUCACGUUUUUUUAUACAUAUCAAUUAAAUUAAAACUCAAUAAAAAAUAUGGAUAUAGUUAAAAGAACAAAAUAUAAUGAAAUAAAUGAUUGGCAGAUUUUAUGGGAUUAGAUGAUGACAGUCCAAUCAUACCGUCAUGGCAUCACUUCAAUUAAAGUUUGGCAACAAAUUUGCUUCAUUUGAAAAACAAACGUCUAUCAAAUGAAAACUCUUGCUCAGCAGUCAUAUUUUCACAAGUUUUUUCUUUAAGAAUUUCUAUAUGUAUUUAAAAAAUAAUAUAAAAUAUAAUCGAAUAAAUUAUUGAAUAUAUUUGAACACAACUCAUCUAUAAUAACUAUAUACUUGAUAUUCGUGUAAAGUAAAAUUUGAGCAUCAAUAUUUGAUAAUCCAAAAUUAUGAAAAAUAAUAGUUGAGUAUGAACAUAACGGGCUAACUUAUGAUUUUUGUCACGUUGAAUCCUUGAAAUUUAAUUUUAUACAUAUUAAAAUUUUUAUUAUUAUAAAUAUAACAAUUAUAUCAUACAAUAAAAUUAAUAUAAAAAUAUAGCAGGAUGAAAAAUUAGAUAAAAUUCAUUUAUGAUGAACUUUAAGUAUCGUAAUUAUGCACGAUGAACGUUGAAUUUGGAUACUUGAUAGCAUAAAACUUUCACUAAAAUCGAGUUGGUUAAUUUGAUAUAUACUUUAAUUUAUCUAUAUUGUGAAAUUAUUUUAAAAUAAAAUUUUGAAAUUACAUGUAUGUUAUUCAAAAGAGGAAAUUAAUAAAUUGUGGAUAUAAAAAAAAUAGCUUGCUUUUACUAAUUUUUCAUUUAAAAAAUCUACAACUCAACCUUAUGCUUUUGAUUAUUUUUAAAUUCUAAAUCAAUCUACUAACCCAAAUUUUUAAUCGUAUUGAAUGAUUUGGACAAAUGCAUUAAUAUUAAUAAUGAAGGGUAAAUUUCAUUAAUUGUCCCGAACUUUUGAUUAAAAUUACAUUUCUGGCACCUAAUUUUCGAAAGUUACAUAAUGGUCACUAAAGUUAUUGAAAUGUUAUAUUUUACACAUUUUGUCAUUUUGUUCCUGAUUCUAAAAAAUUCAACAAAUAUAACCUUAAUAUUUGCACAUUUUAUUAAUUCUGUCCAAAUUAAAAAAAUUAUAAUUUUAAAAGCUUGAAAAUAUAUAAAAUUUAUUAUACAAUGACAUAAAUAUAUAUAUAAUUACAUAGAGGCUUAAAUAUGAAUUUGGUUGAGGGAUUCAAAUCAACAUUUCUUGAAUUUUAACAACUUUUUUGGAUGAUUCAACAAAAUUUAACCUUCAGUUUCUCUUAAUUUUUUUCAUCAAUAUUUUUUUUCUUUUAAACCUCACCAAGCUAAAUGAGUCAUUUAAAUUAAUUUUUUGAAUCAAUAAGAACGCAUUGUCACGCAAUGGAACAAUGAAAAGAAAAAAUUUUACAUAUUAAAACUUAAGUGACUAUCUGAGUAGUUUACCCUUUAAAAUUUUUAAAAAUUAUUAGCAAUAAAAAAUUUAAAAGCUAAUCGUUUAAAUUAACAUGCCACGUCACCCUCUUAAUGGAAGUUAACGAAUGAGUGAUAAAAAUGGAAUAUUUCAAUAACUUUAAUGACAAUAAUGUAACUUUUAAAAAUUAGACGAUUGAAAUGUAAUUUAAAUUAAAAUUAAGAGAGGAUUGAUAUGAUUUACUCAUAAUAGAAACACUGAGAUUGAAUGUAAUUAAACUAAUUUUACAUGUUUAAUAAUUCAAAAAAAAAAGAAAAAGAAAGGUUUGACCAACAUAUUGUGAAUUUCCCAUAAUAUUCUAAAUUAACAAACAGAUAAAACGAUAAUAAUUUCAAACAAAUUGUGGCCGAAAUCUUAUAAUCGUCAAAUUAGCUAAAUGCCGAAAUUAAGACCUUAACCAUCAAUUUUAUUAUUUUAUUUUUUUUCUAAUUUUUAUUUUUUAAUAUAAUAUUAAAAAUUAUUUAUAGUCUCCUCCCACUCUCUAAAUAAGAGGAUAAUACAUUUCAACGUAUUUGAACUCAUAUCCACUAUGACAGACAAUAAUAUUAAUAUCAACUAAACUAAAACUCAACAAGCAAAAAUUAACAUAAUUAAAUUCUUAAAAAGCGAAUUAGCAUUUAUGAAAUUAUUAUUCUAUUUUUUUUUCUUUGGCGAAAACUAGUAUGGAAUUAGCUCUAUAAAAUGGGGGAAUAUUCCCAAACAUCAAGAUAUGAUGAUGAUGUGAUAGAAAAUUCUGGUUCCAUUGCUUUCAAAUGCUAAAGGUGAAAUUUGAGAUUUUUUUUUUUUGUCUGAGAGCAAAACAAAGUGGUAGAAAAUACUGCAAUUAAUAAAAAAUAUAUUUAAAGGUAACUAUAAAAGUUUAGGUGUAAUUUUAUAAUGGUUUAAUUUUUAAAGGGAUUAAAUAAAAAAAAUUCAUUUAAGCUUAAAAUGCAAUAUUAUCUUUUAACUUUAUCAUUUAGGAGAGGAUUAACAAGUAAUUUUUCUAUUUUUUGAUUAACAAGUAAUUUUUCUAUUUUUCUGGGGCUAUCUGUUUCCUUAGAUUCACGUUUGCUUCUACCAAAGAAGUCUUCUCAUUGUUGGAUGAGGCAGAUGUUUUGAGUUAUUUUGCAUCCAGUUUUGAGUUUUAUGAUACGUAAUUAAGUUAUGUGAGUUUUCAGUCCUAACAUGUACAUAUAUUAUAGAUAAGUUUAUUUAGGGUAAAAGUAUUAUGGAGACCCUUGUAUUAAGAGUUGAAUUGUAUUUUGCUCACUCUAUUUGAAAAACGGGCGAAUUAUUCCUUGUAGGAUAAACCAAAAAGCAAUUUAGUAUUUCUUUUAUAAAUUACAUCAAUUUCUAUUGUUAAAAAUUAUUUCUUAUAACUCAACAUGAUGUGCAUGUGUCGUGCCACAUAUUACUAUAUGGUUAUUUUAUAGCCAUGCUAAUUUUAACAUGACAAGUAGAUGAAAUUUUUAAUAGAAAAAACCAAUAUGCUAUAUGAACUAACAUACAGGGAUUGCUUGCUUAUUUUUUGCAUGGAGGGGCAAAAUGUAACCUAACUCCUAGUAUAUAGGAGUUUCUAUAGUACUUUUUAUCAUUUAUCUGGCUAUUUAUUUGGGAUACUUUGUAUUAGUUGAAUUCUACUUUCUAAUUGCUUAAACUUGCAUUUAUAAUUAUAUUAUACUUAUGUUUAUACUGUAUUUGCAAUAACUUUAAAAUGGUAGAAAAUAUGGUCUAACUCUAAAUUUAAUUUUCCCACUUUAUAAAAAUUGAGAAAUUGAUUUUUCUAUUUUAAUUUAUCAUAAUUUUGUCCUCGAAAAGUAAUAAAUUAUUCUAAUUAUUGGCAAAACACAUGAAUUUUAACUUAAUCUAGUUUUCUUUUAUAAAUUGUUACAUAUAAAUUAUUAAACUAGUGAUUUUUAUGCUAGGUCCUUAUAUAUAAUUACUAAACCAUUGAUUUUCGUAAGGCAUGAGAACUGAGUUUUGAUAAAUUGAAGGACCUAAUUGGAUAUUAUAGUUAGAAAAUACAAUUUUGUGAAAGGAUUAGGUUAUAUACAAAUUCGACAUAUUUUAUAUAUAUUCACAUUUUGAACUUUGAAGGCUAUUUAAAGGCGAUAGCUGUUACUCCAAGUAAAGCCAAACCAGCUUACAACCAACACUCAAUUGCAAGUUAAAGAGAGGGACGUUUUUCCUAAAAAAUAAAAUACUUUUAAGAUUUAAAAAAAAAGGUUUAAAUACAAAAUAGACCUUCAAUUUAUAUUAUUUUUCAUUUAGGUAUUUAAUUACUUUUUUUGGUCAAAAUUAGUAUCUAAAACUAUUGAUUCUUUUUCGUUUUAACUUAAAAUACGAUACAUCAAUGAGAAGGUAAUGAAAUUGAUAAUUUAAAUACUAUUUUUUUAAAUAGACAAUUAAGUGGAAAUGUGGUAUAAUUUAAGGAUUAACUUUAUAGUUAAACCUUAAAUUUAAAAUUAAGAAGAAAAGAAAACAACUUAUAAAUAUCAUGAUCCACCCUUUGGACGAUUAAAAAAAAUCAUUAUUUUUACUUUUAAAAAUCUGAUUGAAAUUAAGUCUAAUAUAAAAUUUAAUCAAUUUGAAUUCCGAAUUUGAUUAAUUAUUUUUAAAAAUAUUUUAUAAUUCUUUUCACUUUAAAUAUAAAAUAUUUUCAUAAUAAGUUAAUAAAUAUUAUUAAUAUUGUGACAAAGUCUAAAGUCAUUGGACUAGAAGUGUUUAUGGGUUGAGUAAUAUGUUCAAGAGCCGAGCUUUGGUUUCUAUUUAUCAACCCCAACUCCUCCUAAUAUGAUUAGUUUUACUGUUUAAAAAAUUAUAAAAAUAUAAAAAUAUAAAUGUGUUAAAUUUUAUAUAUUUAUAAAAUUUUUAAAUAGUGAAAUAAGUAAUUUGGAUGGUCUGCAUCAAGCUAGAGCUUAGAAAUUUUUUUGAAAUCGAGUCUAGACUCAAAUUGACCUGUAAAUACUUUUUCAUAUGACAUUGAGUAUCUUAAUUUGAGUUCCACCAUGGUUGGGUUUUUCCUUAAAUUAUUUUGGGCUUAAGUCCCAUACAAAGUUAGUUAUAGGUUUAUUUAUUAUAUUUUAGGGUAAUUCUAGUUUUAAUUACUUUUUGUGAUUCUACUUGUAAUUUAAAAAAAAAUGAUUUUGUCGAUUAAGUCUUAAGCUCAUUGGUAUUGACAUUGUUGUUAGUGCAGAAGGAUGUGGAUUCAAGUACGCUAAAGCAUACUAUCCUCCUAUUUAAAGGUUGAGGAGAGAGGAUAUGGAUAGUACUAUGCGUUGUAUAAAAAGAUUUUUUUUUAUAAUCGUAAAAAGAGAAAUGGGAUUUGCUUAGGAUCAAACCCAAACUUUAAUGCCUACAACACAAUGCUUUUGAUAUUUAUGCUUUUUAACUUUUAAAUAAAAAACUAAGUCGAAUUAAAAUCUAGCCAAAUUUUAUAAAAUCAAGUCGAAUAUAAAUCAAAUUUGGAAAUAAAAAGUACCAUGGAGACCCUUAUACAAAGAGUUAGAUUGCAUUUUGCCCAUUUACUCAAACAGUAGGCAAAUUAGCUCCUAUAUGUUAGAUCAAAGAGCAAAUUGCUAUUUUCUAUUAAAAUUUUCAUCAAUUUCUACUGUAAAAAAUUAGCAUGACUGAUAGAAUAACUAGAAAAUUACACGUUGUGUGCCACAUGAACAUCUGACGUGGCUAAUUUUUAACAAUAAAAAUAGAUAGAAAUUUUAACAAUUUGCUCUUUGAUAUGACGUAAUUAAUCAAUUUACCUAUUUUUUUAAUAAAAAAAAAUUACAAAGACAUCCAUAAUACUUUUACCAUCAAUUUCCAAUUUUUCUUUCCAUUGAGAAAUAAUAUACAAAUUUGACUUGAGAAUAAUAUCAAAUUUUGCAUUUGCUGUUGAACAAUACAUGGAAAACAAAGAAAAAUGGAAUCGAUAUUCAUUAAGUACUUUUCUUUUAAAAAAAAGUCAGUUAAUUAUAAUUGGAAUAAAUAAUUAAAAUGUGCUUCUACUAUAAGGUUAGAAGCAAUUUAGUCAUUCUCAAAAUAAAUAAAAUAAUUUAAUUAUUGUAUUAUUAGAAAGUGAGCAAAUAAAUAAAAUUGAUGAUUGCGUUAAUCAUUUCCGUUAAAAGUUAUACCAAAAAUAGUGAAGGCUGUUAUCAAUUAAUUUAGGGAUUAGAUUGUUGUAUUUAUUUUGAAAGGGACUAAAUUGCUCCUGAUAUUAUAAUAUAAGUACCUCUUGUAUAUUUAUUCCAUUAUAGUUGUUUGGCUUCUUAUUGAAAUUUAACCAUUUAAGUAAUUACGUAGACAUGUAGACAUAGUUGGGAAAUAUUUGGUGGUGUUUUCAAAAUUAUAAAGAGGUAACUUUUGGCCUAAGAAUUUGACUUAAAAAGGACAUAAUAACCCCUUUUUAUGAUAGUAAUUUCAACAAUUUUGUCAAUUUUAUAUUUUGAUCUUAAUAAUUCAUAAGUAUGCCACAUCAGUAAAGUUAAACGUUUUUUUUUAUAAUUUCACAAACAAUAUAAGUUUCAGGACUAAAAUAAAAGAAAAAAUAAAUAGAGAACUAAAAUGAUUUUUAUUAAGAAACUGGAGGGCCAAAUUUUUAUAAAUCUAUAUAAAAUUAUAGUGCGUUAUAAAGAAAGCCAAGUCCAAAAAAAAGAGGCCGAACACUUAGAAUGGUCUUGUGCAUUCUACUAUAUUCCAUAUCAUCCUGUAUUUCAGGAGUGAGUACAGACGGCAACAAGUAGGGCCUUAGCCUCUUUUGGUCUAAAUGGUUAAAAUUCAAUACUAGUCCUUCUUGAAAAAAUACAAUUCAAUUUACGUUUUUCUUAAAUAUAAACUUAUGCCUUAGUCUCCUUCAAUAAUUUUGGUUUUAUUUCGGCCUUUAAUAUAAAAUUUCUAACUUUACCAAAGUACGAAUCUAAAUGGACUGAGUCCAACUCACUUUUCUCCGUGACUAUUGUACAGGCCAAUUUUGGGCCAUCCCCAAAACCCAAUAACCUACCUACCCUAAUCCAAAAAACCCUUAACCCAAUAAGCCCAUUAAACAAAACAAGCCCAAACCAAUACCAAAACCCUAGCCCAACUAUUUCAAAUUUUUUCAGCAAUCAACCUUCAGCCGCAACUCAGCCCCCCAGGUGUGCUGCCGAACCUCUAGGCCAACCAUUGGCCACCUUGCGCACUACCACCGUCGCACGCCCCACGCAUGCCCCUCUCCUCCAUGCGUCUGACACCCCUCAAAGCCUGCAAACAAGCAAGAAAAGAGGACACAAAAAGACAAAAACCAUGUGCAAACAGCAAAGGAGAUAGCAGAAACAAUAGCGAAAUCGGCUAUAAAGCCUUGGGGAGGAACCCGAUCAUGGAGGGGAGGAACGCUCACUGGGCACAAUAUACGUUUCUGCAUACAUACAUAAACAAAAAAAAUCCAGUAUAAAGGUGAUCUCUAGUUUUUUUCCCUCUUUCUUUUCGGAUCUAUUUUUGGUUUGCUAGAUUUCUUUUAAUUUAUGGAUCGACACCAAGGAAAACCCAAUGAUCUCUGAAAUGAAGAGAUUUAGGUGAGGGUCGAAUGUUCUUCUCAACUUUUUUCUUCUUUGUUUUUUGUUUUAUUUUCAAAGAAGCAAAGCACAAUUUAAAGUUUUUUUUUUAAAAAAAAAAGGAAAUGAGAUGGAUUGGUUUACCAGAUCUCCAUGAUUGCAAUCUUCACAGGCAAAGGUUGGGUUGUUGACCGCACGUCGUCGGCCAUUAGUCCAAUAUUGGCUCGUCGUCUGCUAGCCAAAUGAAACCCUAUCAUUUGGGGGUUAAUGGCUGUUACUACUUUUAAAAAAAUAGUUGAAAUUAGAUUAUGUUUGAAGAAAAGGGGGUUUAAAAUCCUUCACAAAGCCACGCGGCACUGUUUAUAGCAGUAAAGGUCUACGCAUUGGCCCAAAAAAGUGAAAUGGAUUUGCACCAUUUUGUUAAAUGGCAGAUUUGCACGUUAGAUCCCCCUCUUGCGCGAGUCUUCAAUUUGUGCCCAAUUGGCUUACCUUGUAUUUUAAAAUUUGGCCUGCUAAUUUGUGCAUCAUUUCAUUUUGAUCCGCGGUUCAUUAAUGCAUUGUGGAUGCGAGACAUUUACAAAUUCAGUCCUCCUACAUUUAUGUGCAUUGAGCAUUAAUUCAUUUUGUAAUUGCUUUAUUUGCAAAUUAUCUUCCUUAUUUUUACUGUAAGUUUAAUUUGGCCUUGUAAUUCUACGAUUGGUUAAUUUUUAAAUGCAUUUAAUAUGUGUAAUACCUUACCAUGAAUUAUUAUUUCUUGGUAUUUAGUAUAUUAUUUAAAUUAUUAUUAAACAUAUAUUUUGUAUUUAUAUUUAAUUUGCAUCCAUUAGUAAAGUUUUAAUAUUCUUAUACAUAUAGAUUUUAAUAAGUUUGUAAUUAAUUGUGUUUUUUUUUUAAAAAAAAUAAUUAUUAUGUAUAUAAUUUAUGAUAAAAUUAGGUUAAUCCUAUAAUUCAUAUUUUAAUUAGAUGAUUUUGACAUAUAAUUACUUCUUACAUUUUUCACAUGUAUAGGGUACAUAUUAAAUUAUUUUUGCUAUGGUACAUGUCAUUAUUUUCAUAUAACCUUAUGUAAAUAUUUUUCUAUGUAUAUAUAUUCUCUUUCAAAAUUAUUUAUGUGAAUAAUAUUUUUAAAUCAUUCAUUGUAUCUUAUAUUAUCCUUAUGUUUUAUAUAUAUAUAUUUUGUUAUUUAUAUAACGUAUAUGUUUACUUCUUUUUUUAUACAAUAUUAAUUUCAUUCUUUUUAUCAAUAAUUAUACCCAAUGUUUAUCUGUAUAUAAAGAUUUCAUAAAUUUACUUUAUAUAUUAUCUUAUAUCAUAUUUCAAGUCAAACUAAUAUGUUUUAAGCUAUUUUUAUAAUCAAUCAUUUAAAAAUUCUUUAAAACGAAGGCGAUGUGCGAUAUUUGGCAAUUCGCAGAAUCGUGUCCUAACGUGUUGGGUUACAAUUUCUCGUUUGCUUAAAAUAAUCAAAUAUCCCUUCAAAAUUUCACGCAUACCUUCUAAAAAUCAUUUAAAACGAAGGCAAUAUUCGGCGUUUGACAAUUCGGGAAUCAUGCCCUAUCGUGCUGGGUUGUGAUUUCUCGUUUGUUCAAAACAAUCGAAUAUUCCUUUAGAUUUUCAUUCAUGUUUAUUUAAAACCUUGAAAAAAACGAAGGUGAUGUUCGAUGUUUGGCGAUUUGAGAAUCGAGCCCUAUCGUGCUGGGUUGUGCUUUUUCAUUUGCUCAAAAUAAUUGAAGAUCCCUUCGAAAUUUCACUCGUAUUUUCUAAGGUGAGGCAAUGUUCGAUGUUCGGAAAUUCGAGGAAUCGUGCCCUACUGUGCUGGGUUUCGGUUUUUCGUUGGACCAAAUAGUUGGGCAUCCUUUUGCGAUUUUCAAAUUAUAAAUUUGCGGUCAUCGAAACAAGAAGAUUUUUGACAAUCAACUCGGGUCACUCGAACGUUAUUAGAAAAGAACCACAUUUCCAAAACAUUUUUAUCUUCGACACUAAGACACUAAUUAAUCAACUAGGUACCAAUUUUGGGCGUAUCGAGGGUGCAAAUCCUUCCUCGUGCGUAACCGACUCCCGAACUCAUUUUUCUGAAUUUCGUAGACCAAAAUCGUUGUUUUAAUAAAAUUAAAUCAUUUAUUAAAAACAACCACUUUUUGAGGUGACCCGAUCACACCUCGUCAAAAAAGGAUUGGUGGCGACUCCCGUUUUCAUUCUUUUUUUCAAAAUCCAAGUCGACCCCGUUUUCAUCAAAAAAAUGGUGUCAACAGCUUGGCGACUCCACUGGGGAGAAUAAGAGAGUCAAGCCACGUGUUGAUUAUUUCUUGUCUUUUUGUUGAAAGUGGAAAAUUCGAUUUAAAUUUACGAUCCUCUCAUUGCAUCUCUUUUGUUUUGAGUUAUUUUUUUAUCGUGUUCUGUAUUUUAUUUUAUACCUCUGCACAUUGCAUUGCAUGACCGCUGGUCACACCUUUUAAGUGGGAGUGAGAAACUACGCCUUCGUGAGGUUUUCACCUCCGCAUGGGAUAGUGAAUCGCUUCCGGGAUACAUCCGUACCUAUGUCUUCGUGAGAUUUUCAUCUCCGCAUGGCCAUAGGGAAAUGUAUUCCCCUGAACUGAACUCGGUCCAUAUGAGCCUAUAAUGGGUGAGGAUCGAGGAAUCUGCUGGUUCAGGUACCCUUACUUUAGAACCAAACCACACAUANNNNNNNNNNNNNNNNNNNNNNNNNNNNNNNNNNNNNNNNNNNNNNNNNNNNNNNNNNNNNNNNNNNNNNNNNNNNNNNNNNNNNNNNNNNNNNNNNNNNNNNNNNNNNNNNNNNNNNNNNNNNNNNNNNNNNNNNNNNNNNNNNNNNNNNNNNNNNNNNNNNNNNNNNNNNNNNNNNNNNNNNNNNNNNNNNNNNNNNNNNNNNNNNNNNNNNNNNNNNNNNNNNNNNNNNNNNNNNNNNNNNNNNNNNNNNNNNNNNNNNNNNNNNNNNNNNNNNNNNNNNNNNNNNNNNNNNNNNNNNNNNNNNNNNNNNNNNNNNNNNNNNNNNNNNNNNNNNNNNNNNNNNNNNNNNNNNNNNNNNNNNNNNNNNNNNNNNNNNNNNNNNNNNNNNNNNNNNNNNNNNNNNNNNNNNNNNNNNNNNNNNNNNNNNNNNNNNNNNNNNNNNNNNNNNNNNNNNNNNNNNNNNNNNNNNNNNNNNNNNNNNNNNNNNNNNNNNNNNNUUGCUUCGAUAGCUAUAAAACGAGAGAAGAACUUCAGUUUUCAAAAGUUUCAAGUAUGGAAAUCAUCUUUUUUUCAAUCAUUAUAAUCAUGUAUGCUUUUGAUAAAGUUGUAACUUUAUUUUUGUUAUAGAAAUGGCUUGACUACUAUGGACCGUUUGAAGCUGUGGUUGAUGCGGCUAAUGUCGGUCUUUUCAGCCAGAAAAGAUUCAUGCCAUCAAAGGUCAAUGCUGUUGUUAAUGCAAUACGACAGAAACUUCCAUCAAGGAGAUGGCCACUUAUUGUUUUGCAUAACAAACGGAUCACUGGACGGAAGAUGGAUGAACCAGUAAAUAAAGCAUUAAUUGAUAAGUGGAAAAAUGCCGAUGCUCUAUAUUCAACACCAACCGGUUCCAAUGAUGAUUGGUACGAAAUACGGGAAGUUACAGCUAACUUGCAUGAUUGCUUAUUUGCAUAAUGGCACAUUACGGUUCUAUUUAAUCUGUGCUUCAGGUACUGGUUGUAUGCAGCUAUCAAGUUUAAGUGUUUAAUCGUGACUAAUGAUGAGAUGAGAGACCAUACCUUUCAACUUUUGGGAAAUGAAUUCUUUCCGAAAUGGAAAGAAAGGCAUCAAGUGAGUAAAGCUCUCGAUAUAUACUCAGUUGCUUAGUAUGAUUCUCUAAAGCAAUUCUACUAAUAAAGAAUCUGUCCUUUUUCCUUAUCAAAGGUGCAUUUCAGUUUCUCAAACACCAGUCCAGUAGUUUACAUGCCUCCUCCAUGUUCAGUAGUAAUUCAGGUAAGUCCCUACGAACUAUAAAUCGAAAGAAUAGAGAGAGAUAUAGUGUGCUGAAUCUUCAUAUAUGCAAAUACAUGUCAAUAGGAAUCAGAGAAAGGCCACUGGCAUAUUCCCAUUGCAUCGGAACUCGAUUAUGAUUCUGAAAGAACAUGGUUAUGCAUUAGACGAGCUAACUCACAUACGGUGAAGGAAGAUUCCGUAGCCAUAACUGAAGGUAUUACCGAGCUUAGUUUAUCAGUGUUUCUUCACUCAGCUAUCAUAUGUCACAUAGUAGUAGUAUGCAUGCAAUUUAUUUGAUGUCAGCAAAUUCGACUUUAUGGUGUCCCAUUGAUUUGUUUACAUACAAGGUUUUCAUGUGUGACAGAUUCGCAGUCUCUUAACCGUAACAAGGAACAUACCAAGUCAACUACUCAAACCAAAGUUAACUCGAAUUUCCUGCCAUUAAACAAUGGAAACUAUGAUAAACCACGAAAGCUAGCUGAGGAAAUGUACAAAAACAUCACCAGUAUUUCGUUUGCUUCUGUCUCCUCCGAUCAACACAAACUUCUAUCAGAAAUAGAAGCCGCAGAGAUGCUUGGCAACUGUGUAAUCGACUUUCAAAUAUGAAACAAGUGGCUUUCGUGUAAAGUUUUGGAAAUUGUAUUGAACUACCAGUAGGAAUCUGUUUUUAGUUGUAUAGUUAUGAAGUGCCUGAGCCGAGUUUAUAUUGAACUAUGGUGUAUUUUAGCAGGGUUUUUGCCCAUCGGAAGCUGUUUCUUUCUGGAGAGAAAGUAUCCAAUUUUGCCAAAGUGCAAUCCGAAUUUGCCAAGACAUCACCAGCGUUAUAUAUAUAGCAUUUCAAUUCUCCUAUCUUGAUUAUGUUUAUAAUUAGCUAGUUUUCUCCAUGUAUUGAACUCUUAUUCUUACUCUUUUAUGUUAAUUUGCUCCUUCUUUUUUGAAAUACCGAUAGCAACAGUAGCAACCAUUGAGAAAUUGAAUGAAGAACCAAGGUAUGUUGACUCUCUUUAUCUACGCAACAUUAGAGUGAUAUAUAUACACACAUACACAUAUAGACAUUAGCUUGAUCUUCCAUGUUUCUAACCGGUUCAUUAUUGUAGGGAUUAUACUGCUCCAUGUCCAGUAAAAGUCAUAGACAAGCAUGAACUUGACACUAAAGAGUGCUGCUUUUCUUCUUCACAUGUGCAGACAAGUGACUCAGGAUUCAGCAUUAGAACUAAUUUAGUUUCAUGGUGCAUUUUGAGGCAAAAAAUUUACAUACUUGCAGACCAAGUAAAUGACAGAACAGUUUACUAGAGAUGAAGACAGCCGGAAAGCAGUUCCCGAAUACAUCAAAUCUUAAAAGAGUCAUAUAAUGACUUCCCUGUCCAAAUUUGGACAUUAGUUACUGUCCCCAAUGGAAUCCUACAUUGGACAUUUGGACUGAACAUAUGUAAAUUAAGGUAACCUUUCUUUCUAACUGUAUAUACAUUUAUAUGUACUUGUCUCCCAGUUAUUGCAUUUUCUCUAUCUAUCAAUCACGACCUUUUGGACUUCUAUUGCCACUUAAGGAUUCCAGCUUCUCUAGAUUAGGAGACUUUUUCUGAGUAGA